GUCCUUAGGUUGUUUAAUUUUUGAUAUUUUAAUUGAUGGGUAAAUGGUCAUUUUGCUUUUAGUGUUUUGGCUUUUAGUGGAAGGUAGAAGCUUCCUUUUCUUUAAUUUAUGCUUAGAUAAUAUUAAUAUUAUCAAAGGAAAAAGAAAGGUUAAGUGUGAGAUAGAUGCUGAAGCUUGAAAUUUUGUUCCUCUUUCCCUCUCUCUUUCGUGCAACCUAGAGAACCAGCAAGAAAAGGGUUUGAAUUGUUGAUUUUAUAGUCUUUCUAAUCUCUUGAAGGAGAACUUGUUUAAGGGCCCUGUAAAACGUCGAGCUGCACUUCCACUCAGGCUGACCGGCACACUUGAGCACGGAACGAGGUAAAGGAAAAGCAAAGCUGGAGGAACAGUGAGGCGGAACUCGGCAUGAUUGUACAUAUCGCGGCAGUGCAACCUGGAGGGUUUCGGUUUACUAGUAUUUUGGAGUCUGUAUUUUGAGGAUGCUUGACCGCUAAAAUUAAAAAAUAUAUAUAUAUGUACAUAUUGAGAAAAUACUUUUAACUUGUAUUUUGAUACUCGGGAUCCCGAUCCAUAUGAUUAUUAAUAUAUAAAUUAUUAAAGUUAA